UACGUAGGGUGCAAGCGUUGUCCGGAAUUACUGGGCGUAAAGCGCGUGUAGGCGGCGGCGUAAGUCGAAUGUGAAAUCCCUUGGCUUAACCAAGGAAGUGCAUCCGAUACUGCGUCGCUUGAGUGCCGGAGGGGAUGGCGGAAUUCCCCAAGUAGAGGUGAAAUUCGUAGAUAUGGGGAGGAACACCGGUGGCGAAGGCGGCCACCUGGACGGUAACUGACGCUGAGACGCGAAAGCGUGGGGAGCAAACAGG
rnacentral:rRNA from 1 species